GACGAACGCUGGCGGCGUGCUUAACACAUGCAAGUCGAACGGAAAGGCCCUGCUUUUGUGGGGUGCUCGAGUGGCGAACGGGUGAGUAACACGUGAGUAACCUGCCCUUGACUUUGGGAUAACUUCAGGAAACUGGGGCUAAUACCGGAUAGGAGCUCCUGCUGCAUGGUGGGGGUUGGAAAGUUUCGGCGGUUGGGGAUGGACUCGCGGCUUAUCCGCUUGUUGGUGGGGUAGUGGCUUACCAAGGCUUUGACGGGUAGCCGGCCUGGGAGGGUGACCGGCCACAUUGGGACUGAGGUACGGCCCAGACUCCUACGGGAGGCAGCAGUGGGGAAUAUUGCACAAUGGGCGGAAGCCUGAUGCAGCAACGCCGCGUGCGGGAUGACGGCCUUCGGGUUGUAAACCGCUUUCGCCUGUGACGAAGCGUGAGUGACGGUAAUGGGUAAAGAAGCACCGGCUAACUACGUG
rnacentral:rRNA from 1 species